AAACGCGCGGCAUUUUGGAGCUGCUGUUCGAGAGAAUUGCUGCUUUAAAAAGAAAAACGAGCGGAAAAGGCGUCUAUUUAAAGUGGUUUUGUUCUUUGAGGAGUCUUUUUUUUCCGGAUUGUCCAGCGUUUGGUGAGAUUUUCUACAUUGCUGAACGUGACUUGGCGAGUGAUUUUGUCUAGUGACGAUGAGUUUGAUGAUUGGUCCGGCAGCAGGCCUACACCUCCAUCCACCCUCGGAUCUUCACCUCCACCACCUCCAUCCACGCUCAGGGUUACGCAGACACCUCCGCCGCCUCCAUCCACCUUUGAGGGAUUGUAGCUUUUGAAGAUGACAACAAACUAUCUCAAAAUUUCUUCAACAUGUACUCAUGGACUGUAUAUUACAGAUUUUGAAAAUGAGGCUUGAAGAGAAACUCCUUGACAAGCCACAUCACCCGUAAAGAUGUUGAGAAGGUCGUGUCUAAGUGGCUCAUAGGUGCUCGGGAUCGGGGGGGUAAUAGACAGGCCCUACAGGCAACCCCGCAAUGAAGACUUCAGGCUUCAGCCUCACUUGAGGUGGACAGUAACCAAUUCUGUCUGUGACACUUUGUGUUGACCUUGUAGAGACAUUACAGGACAUUCAUGUCUCUCAUGUUCUCAGCCUUUGAAAAUGAGCAAUACCUCACAUGGACCACAGUUUGCACAGAGGGAGUAAAGAGCAAGAUUGGAAGAUUCAAGUAGGAUAAACAGAACGUAUACAGUGGCUUGCAAAAGUAUUCACACCCUUUGGUAUUUCACAAAUUUUAAUUUGUUUAUGGCAUUUCAAAUACAAAAUGUAAAUUAGGCUUAAAUUAUUUUCCUUAGACUCAAACUGAAAGUAAAUCUCUACAACUUGACAUAAUUAAAAAUAUAAAAGCCACGAUGAUGGGUUGCAUAAGUAAUCAGCCCCUUCGGUCUAAUACUUGUAAAUCAUUUUAAUUGCCAGUGUUUUCAGACAAGUCGGAGAGAUGCAUGAACUUUAGCAAGUAUGUGUUCUGUUUUUCCUACUUGAAUCGUCCAAUCUUGCUCUUUAUUCCCACGCAAAACAAACGUAAUUUUUGUUGCACAUCAAAUGUUUCUUCUGAAAAAUGAACAUGUUCAAAUGUUACUGUCCCUGUUGGUUGUUUAUUAUUAAAUAGUGUAUGCAGAUGAAAUGUUUUCAAAAGUAUUUGUUUUUUUUCCAUCUGUCUGUGAACAAGAUUACAAGAGCAUAACAGGCCAUAACUUUGGAACUGUGAUCAUAGGACCUUCCAACUUGGCCCAUAUUGCUCCUCAUAGGUGUUUCAUGUAUGACAAGUAUUGUGGGAGAUUUAAGUGCAUUUGGCUCAAAUUUGACUAAAAAUUAAACCUUUUCAAAUUCCACUGCUUGGAGAUGCCUUGGCUUAAUCAGAAUACCAAUAUUGACUAAGUUAAUAGUCCAUUUGUUAUAAUGUAAUUGAUGUUUCCAUCUCAGUAUAACAUUUAUCAACAUUAAUUUGUAAUUUAAGUGGAAACUCUAAAUGACCUUGACCUGGUAUUUGUAAAUGAGCUUGUAGCAAACACCCCAUAAUGUGUGUUUAACAAAAGGUCAAUAUAAUUUUGUACUGCACCAGUAUGACAUUGAAAAAUGUGACUACUCUGUUGGCAGAGGUUGUUGCGUUCUCUGAGCACAGUCCUAGCUUGUUUAAAGAACUGUAUGUGACAAAAAUGGAUUUGUUAAGCCCAUAAUUAUAAUAGUUACCCUUAUGGGUGCAAUUGGGGGCCCAUAAUCAGCCUGCAUGGGGCCCACCUAACGUGUGCUCCAGAUGGGAGAAACCUGGGUUGCCCAUGCAGGUUUUAGGUAGGGCCCAUGGGAAGCCCACGCCAGCCCACUAUUCUGAGGAAUUGUCAUUCAUAAUUCAACAGGGAAGAACAGAACUUCAAACAAAACCAAAUUCACCACUUUGAAUUUUAUUGUUUUCCAAACACAGUAUGUGUUUUCAACAAAAAUCAUAAUUUUGUGAAGAACUGAGAACAGUGUUUAAAUUAAUCAACCUAAUAUGAAUCCAAAUGAAAAACCUUUGCAUGAAUUUCACGUUAAUGAAAUCCAUUUUUUACUAAAUUUUAUUAUUUCAUAUAUCCACAAGGAUAUACAGUGUUUAGAAGAAUCAAACAAAACCAACAGAAUUAAAAUAUAUCAGAAACAAAGAGAAAAAAAGUGUUUUGGUGAAUUUCACUAUUUUCACCAUAAAAAAUUUCUACAAUUUACAAAACAAUUCAAAAGUUCAAUAUUGUGUGAGGAAGGAUUGUAAAUCAGUGUUUAGAUGAAACAAACAAAAACAAUCAUCAAAAUCCAUCAAGAAAUGAAAAAAAAAAUUUGGGCGAAUUUCAGUUUUCACCCUAAAAAGUCCAUAUUUUCCUAAAAACGUACAAUUCCAACAUUAAUACAUUAUUACUCUCAGAGAAACAGAUAUGGCAUCAGUUCAGUGCCAAAACCACAAAAAAAAAAAAAAGCGUUCAGGUGUAUUAUAUUAUUUCACACACGUAGAUAACUGCGUGUGCAAAGAUGUCAUGCUAAAAACAGAAAGUAUCCCAAUGAAUUUUCAAUGUAGCUCCCUUCAUCCAACUGUAUGUUUUCUGUUUUUGUCUUUUUACUUUUUUGAUUGUGCAUUUUGAGCAUUUAUCCAGUCCAAAUUCCAUACUAAUGUCUUUGAAAAACUUAUGGACAGUUUCUACGAGUUGACUGAGUCCUUUUUGUGUUGGCAGAGAUUUUCAAAUCAUCCAUGAACAGCAGAUGGUUCACAAGUUUCUGAUUUUUCCUUCCUCUGUCUCUCCUUAAGUCCUACCUGAUGUCUUGCUCCUUCAGGAUCUUGCUGA